rnacentral:rRNA from 1 species
AGAGUUUGAUCCUGGCUCAGAUUGAACGCUGGCGGAAUGCUUUACACAUGCAAGUCGAACGGUAGAGGGGGCAACCCCUUGAGAGUGGCGAACGGGUGAGUAAUAUAUCGGAACGUGCCCAGUCGUGGGGGAUAACGUAGUGAAAAUUACGCUAAUACCGCAUACGAUCUAAGGAUGAAAGCGGGGGAUCGCAAGACCUCGCGCGAUUGGAGCGGCCGAUAUCAGAUUAGGUAGUUGGUAGGGUAAAGGCCUACCAAGCCAACGAUCUGUAGCUGGUCUGAGAGGACGACCAGCCACACUGGAACUGAGACACGGUCCAGACUCCUACGGGAGGCAGCAGUGGGGAAUUUUGGACAAUGGGCGAAAGCCUGAUCCAGCCAUUCCGCGUGCAGGAUGAAGGCCCUCGGGUUGUAAACUGCUUUUGUACAGAACGAAAAGGUCUCUAUUAAUACUAGGGGCUCAUGACGGUACUGUAAGAAUAAGCACCGGCUAACUACGUGCCAGCAGCCGCGGUAAUACGUAGGGUGCAAGCGUUAAUCGGAAUUACUGGGCGUAAAGCGUGCGCAGGCGGUUAUAUAAGUCAGAUGUGAAAUCCCCGGGCUCAACCUGGGAACUGCAUUUGAGACUGUAUAGCUAGAGUACGGUAGAGGGGGAUGGAACUCCGCGUGUAGCAGUGAAAUGCGUAGAUAUGCGGAGGAACACCGAUGGCGAAGGCAAUCCCCUGGACCUGUACUGACGCUCAUGCACGAAAGCGUGGGGAGCAAACAGGAUUAGAUACCCUGGUAGUCCACGCCCUAAACGAUGUCAACUG